GGAGGGACGUCUCAUCCGGUGAUGGGCGCGGGCUUCAAACCCGUAGGAUCGUUGAGAAACGAUUGGCAGGUUCGACUCCUGUGUCCCUCCGCCA
rnacentral:tRNA from 1 species